AUUGAACGCUGGCGGCAGGCCUAACACAUGCAAGUCGAACGAGUGGCGGACGGGUGAGUAAUGUCUGGGAAACUGCCUGAUGGAGGGGGAUAACUCCUGGAAACGGUAGCUAAUACCGCAUACCAUCAGCUGUGCCCAGAUUGGUUUAGCUAGUUGGUGGGGUAACGGCUCACCAAGGCGACGAUCCAUAGCUGAUCUGAGAGGCUGACCAGCCACACUGGAACUGAGACACGGCCCAGACUCCUACGGGAGGCAGCAGUGGGGAAUAUUGCGCAAUGGGCGAAAGUCUGAUGCAGCCAUGCCGCGUGUAUGAAGAAGGCUUUCGGGUUGUAAAGUACUUUCAGCAGGGAAGCGGUACCCGAAGAAGAAGCACCGGCUAACUACGUGCCAGCAGCCGCGGUAAUAC
rnacentral:rRNA from 1 species